rnacentral:lncRNA from 12 species
CCUUUAAACACAGCUAAAUCUCAGUGUCUCCAGAAUUAAAAGAACUUGUGUGAUGAAUUUUAAGUUUGUGGCAGAGGAGGACACAUAUAUAGUUCUACUCACAGCCCCCUUGACCUAGAAAUGUAAAAGGAUGUAAUUCAUUUGUGUUUCUAGACAAUUUUCUUCUCCCACUGACCAGCCUACCUCUGCCUGCUGAGUUCCCAGAAACAAGGGAAACCAUGCUGUUGGACAACUGCAUAGAACAAGAGAUACAUACUCAGCUGCCAACGCCUAGAGCAAACUCAUUCCAGGUGGAGAAUGACCAAAAAAUCUUUAUCAUCUCAUGACCUGUGUUAACAUCUUGAUGGGAAAUCAUCCCCGGGAGCAGCCCUCUGUUCUGGUGUCUGCUCUGAGAACAGAUUUAGAGAACACAGGAAGAGGGCAUUAUGGAGGCAGUGGAUCCCUCCAACAUGGACAGGGAUGGUGGCAUUCUGUUACGGUUCCAAAACUGGUACAGAGAAACCAAUGGAAGGCAGGUCUUAGAGCCUGGAAAAAGGAGUAUUACAUAAGUGCAAUUUUACUUUCCGCGUUAAUCUUUGCUGAGGACACAUCUUGCUAAUGGAUGCAGAAGAUCAAUUGAGAUAAAGCACAGAUGCUCAGAGACACAGUACAAAGCCACGCUGGCCUGAUGAUGCUGGGAUGCCGAAUGUAGUUCCCAGGGAAGGAACCGGCGGGGGGCACUGUCACUACUUAGGGUGUAUGCUGCCUCUCUCGCUGCAAAACAAAUACUGAAUGCUAUUUUCACUUUUUGCCUUUUUUUUUUUCAUAAAAGCAAAAAACUCUUUCCGGAUUUCUCUUGGCUUUCAAAAACAGGUACUAGCAUAGGUCUUUUGUAAAAGCAAAGUGGCAUGUCGCAAACUUUGAAAAGUGGGGGCUCCUGCACACUUUCUGCACAGGGAUGCCAGCUGCGUUCCAGCCAAUUGCUUCUGACGGCAGACGCUCAGCAGCGGCCGCAGCGCUGGAGAACCAGGGCAAGCUCAGCAGCCUCCUAGGCAUCGCGGAGCUACCGAGGGUCCCCGACGGCACAGAAACACCAGGAGGUCAGCAGCGACCCCAGAGUGACCAAGCUGGUCUCAGGUUGGCCAAAGAGUGCAUUCGGACCACCUGAGCGUCAGUUAGACGUAGGGUGUUUGUCGGGGCUGGAGCACCGCAUUGGCCUGCGGAGAACAAGAAGCAGAGCGCUGGGCCCAGGCAACACCUUCAGCCUGAAUCGUACUUACCAGGUGUUAGGCUUCAGUUGCUGUGCUCAGCUUCAUAGUCCCACUCCUUCCACUGAAGCAAGACGAAAGGACUGAACAUGUCUCAUUUACCCUGGGAUGUGGCUUUUUCUGUCUUUUCUUUUUUUGUUGUUGUUUUGUUUUUUAAUGUAUUUAUUCAUGAGAGACAUAGAGGCAGACACAUAGGCAGAGGGAGAAGCAGGAUCCCUGCGGGGAGCUCCAUGUAGGACUCGAUCCCAGGACCCGGGGAUCACAACCUGAGCCCAAAGCAGAUGCUCAACCACUGAGCCAUCCAGGUGCCCCAUUUUGGGAUGUGUUCUUGCCGCUUAGAGAUAAAGAGAC